GAUGAACGCUGGCGGCGUGCCUAAUACAUGCAAGUCGAACGGGGAGUAGCAAUACUCUUAGUGGCGAACGGGUGAGUAACGCGUUGGUACCUGCCCCGAAGCGGGGGAUAACGGACCGAAAGGUCCGCUAAUACCCCAUGUGCUCGGUAACGAGUAAAGGUGAAAACCACUUUGGGAGGGGCCUGCGUCCCAUCAGCUAGUUGGUAAGGUAACGGCUUACCAAGGCGAUGACGGGUAGGGGACCUGAGAGGGUGGCCCCCCACAAUGGAACUGAAACACGGUCCAUACACCUACGGGUGGCAGCAGUAGGGAAUAUUGGUAAUGGGCGCAAGCCUGAACCAGCAACGCCGCGUGUGCGAUGACGGCCUUCGGGUUGUAAAGCACUUUUGACUGGGACGAGGAAGGACGGUACCGGUCGAAUCAGCCUCGGCUAACUACGCG
rnacentral:rRNA from 1 species